AGCUUCUUGAAUCCGUGUCGAGAUUUCGUCAGGCACCAGGUCAUCAAUACUGAUGAGACCCCAAAGAUAAGUCGGGUG
rnacentral:pre_miRNA from 1 species